rnacentral:misc_RNA from 1 species
AUUGCUGCCUUAGAACAGCAAAAAGGACGCUUUGUGAAUGAACACAGCGUUUCUGGCCGUUUUAAUUCUGCUAUGAGAAGCACUCUUUAACUUCUAUAAUAGAGGGAAAAAAUUGUUUGCAUCAUAUUUUUUGAGUAGAGAGAAAGACACCAUACAAUCGGCGGUUGUCAGCCGCAAUACUGCAGUUUUACGGUAUAACCGAAAAACAACUUGCCAACUGCAAUAGCUGUAUCGAUCAAUUUCGUUGUAGGCCUCUACCUUAUUGACCCGUUUUGCCAUAAGUAAUUUACGCUCUUGACGAGCAAAUCGUGUAUCUUAUCAUUAGUUUCACUUUUAAUUGCAGAUUCUCAUAUUGAAUAGAAGAUAUGGCAGCCUUUAUUGCUAAGCAAAUGGUCGGUGACCAAUUAAAAUCUGUAAAAGGUGCAAUGGGAGAUGGAGACGAAGAGAAGAAGGAAGGAGACGGUGAAGAAGAUCCCGAAGUAGCAGAGGCCCGUAGAGAGGCUGAAGAAAAGAGAAAGGAAAAACAUCGUAAAAUGGAAGAAGAACGCGAAGAAAUGAGACAACAAAUUCGUGACAAGUAUGGUUUGAAAAAGAAGGAAAUUGUGAAAGAAGAGGAGCCAGACGUAGCUGGUAGACUAGGUCGCAAGAAGAAAUCGCCUGCAGAAUUAGCUGCAGAAAAUGAUUCCGAAAAUGAAGAAGGAAAUGACUCGUUCUUACCAACAAAUCUUAAUGAUCUGCAAUCGAAAGUCAGCGAUCUUCCGAACAAGGUGAUGUCAUCAGUUAGUGAAGUUGGUGACAAGUGCACUAUUCAAUAAGGACGAAGAAGAAGAUGGAGGAGCGAAUGGAGACUAAAAGCAUAGGGUAUAUGGUAAGGCAAAAAAAAAUGCGAAUACUAAUUAAAAUAGACAAUACUGUAUAACUUAGUUACAUAAAAAAAUAUGCACCAAAAACUUGGAUGCUCGUUUAAUUAGUCAUUGAAUGAAACGUUUUUUUAUAUACAUAUAUACAUAUAAAAAAUCUGUAUGGAUAUAUGUAUACAAAGUAUAUACAGUAUAUAUAUUCAACUGUUUUAAAUCAGUGUGCCUGUAAGUGUAAAGUAGUUUUAAUUCAAAGAAAUCAAGAAUUUCAAUUAAUUACAAAUAUCUUUCUCUUCUGCAAAUGUAUUAAAAUUCAUAUUCUUAUGCUAAUAGAAUCAAUCUAUUAGUAUCUGAGUAUAUUGUGUAUAAUUCUUAAAAUAUAUACAUAUAUAUAUAUAUACAGUAUAUAUAUAUAUAUAAGGUUUGAGUGUGCAUUAAGGAAAAAUAAGUCCUACACGAAACGUCUGCCAUAUUGUAGUUUACUUUAUUCGUCUAGAUACAGCAUGCAAUUUUUUCUCUUAUAUAAUUCAGAUAGACUUAAUUGUUAUGCAUACCAAGAAAAUUGUUCUCUGAAUACAAGUUAAAUAGAUGAUGCUAUACGAA